rnacentral:rRNA from 1 species
AUGGAGAUAGCGAUGGCGGCUAUCCGCCCUCUCAUCCCAAAGCUCGGCAAACUGCUUGUUGGUGAGUUCACCCUCGAGAAGCGUGUUAAGAAAGGCGUGGAGUCUCUUGUCAGAGAGAUGACACUCAUGCAAGCCGCCCUGCGCAAGGUGGGGAAGGUGCCGGCAGACCAGCUCGAUGAAGGGACCAAGAUCUGGGCAGGAAUGGUGAGGGAGUUGUCCUACCAAAUGGAGGAUAUCGUUGACUCAUUCAUGGUGCGUCUGGAAGAUGGUGGUGAGCCUACCAACCCAAAGAACAAACUCAAGAAGUUGCUCAAGAAGACCAAAAGAUUAUUCAAGAAGGGGAAGGAUCUCCAUCGUAUCUCUGAUGCUCUUGAAGAAGUGUUUGUUCAAGCUAGGCAAUUGGGCGAGCUGCGUCAAAGGUAUGAACAAGAGUUGCGGGAUUCCGACGCUGGUGCUAGUGUUGACCCUCGCGUGAUGGCCCUAUACACAGAUGUUACAAAGCUUGUCGGCGUUGAAGAACCAUGA